rnacentral:rRNA from 1 species
AUUGAACGCUGGCGGCAGGCCUAACACAUGCAAGUCGAGCGGCAGCGGGAAAGUAGCUUGCUACUUUUGCCGGCGAGCGGCGGACGGGUGAGUAAUGCCUGGGAAAUUGCCCAGUCGAGGGGGAUAACAGUUGGAAACGACUGCUAAUACCGCAUACGCCCUACGGGGGAAAGCAGGGGACCUUCGGGCCUUGCGCGAUUGGAUAUGCCCAGGUGGGAUUAGCUAGUUGGUGAGGUAAUGGCUCACCAAGGCGACGAUCCCUAGCUGGUCUGAGACGAUGAUCAGCCACACUGGAACAGAGAAACGGUCCAGACUCCUACGGGAGGCAGCAGUGGGGAAUAUUGCACAAUGGGGGAAACCCUGAUGCAGCCAUGCCGCGUGUGUGAAGAAGGCCUUCGGGUUGUAAAGCACUUUCAGCGAGGAGGAAAGGUUGAUGCCUAAUACGUAUCAACUGUGACGUUACUCGCAGAAGAAGCACCGGCUAACUCCGUGCCAGCAGCCGCCGUAAAAC